rnacentral:rRNA from 1 species
AAAAGAUUUUUAUCUUUUUUUAUUGGUUCUAAGAUAAAAAUAAUGAUUAAUAGGGACAGUUGGGGGCAUUUGUAUUUAACAGUCAGAGGUGAUAUUCUUAGAUUUGUUAAAGACAAACUAAUGCGAAAGCAUUUGCCAAGGAUGUUUUCAUUAAUCAAGAACGAAAGUUAGGGGAUCGAAGACGAUCAGAUACCGUCGUAGUCUUAACCAUAAACUAUGCCA